CGGCGGCAGCUUACCAUGCAAGUCGAACGGUAGCACAAGGAGCUUGCUCCUUGGGUGACGAGUGGCGGACGGGUGAGUAAUGCUUGGGAAUCUGGCUUAUGGAGGGGGAUAACUACUGGAAACGGUAGCUAAUACCGCGUAAUGUCUACGGACUAAAGGGUGGGACCUUCGGGCCACCUGCCAUAAGAUGAGCCCAAGUGGGAUUAGGUAGUUGGUGAGGUAAUGGCCCACCAAGCCCGCGAUCUCUAGCUGGUCUGAGAGGAUGACCAGCCACACUGGAACUGAGACACGGUCCAGACUCCUACGGGAGGCAGCAGUGGGGAAUAUUGCACAAUGGGGGGAACCCUGAUGCAGCCAUGCCGCGUGAAUGAAGAAGGCCUUCGGGUUGUAAAGUUCUUUCGGUGACGAGGAAGGCGAUUGUUUUAAUAGAACAAUCGAUUGACGUUAAUCACAGAAGAAGCACCGGCUAACUCCGUGCCAGCAGCCGCGGUAAU
rnacentral:rRNA from 1 species